CUGCUUCUACUUCCCCAUCAAUUAACUCUUCAGAUCUGCCGGAAAUCUCUCAGAAUCUAGCACUCUCCGCCUUCCUCUGCACCUCGCCGGCAGUUACCUCAUAAUGCAGCCAAGCAGCUUCACCGCCGCCUAGCUCCGCCUCCGCGGAUCUGAGCUUCAAUGGGCUCCGCGCCGUCGUCGCAAUACCACGGUGAGGAGGACUCAUUCCAAGAAGAUGAGGAGGAACAGAAUCCGCGAGCUAUUAAACCUUCGAAGGAGAAGGUUCUGGAGCAAGAACCGGAGAUCCUCCCCUGCCACGCCUCCGCUUCUCCACUAUCCCCGCAGCUCUCCACCGUCGGCACUCCCCGACUUCUCGGCCCCUCUAUAAAAGUUUGGGAUCCCUGUAAUGUCCUUCUUCCUCCGGCCGUGUUCUCCCGUGGAUUCGAUUCUGAUGCUGGCGGUGUUGAGUUGAUGCGGGAGUUGGUGUUGAUUAAUCAUGGUGAAUGCGGAGUGAGUUUGAGGCCGGAUCUGGUUGGUGGGCGGUGGACUUCAGCGGGAUUGACGGGGAAUGGGGAAAGGCAGGCGCGGGCUCUAGCUGUGUUUCUCAAUUCACAGGGAGUGAGGUUCAGUGCAGUCUACUGCUCGCCGUUAGAUCGGGCGAGGGAUACAGCAGCCUUCGUUUGUCGGGAACUGAACUUUGCAGAGGAGCAGAUCCAAUCUUCAGAUGCUCUAACUGAGAUGAGUCAGGGACAGUGGGAAGGCUGUCUUCGCUCUGACAUCUACACUCCAGAAAUGAUCAGCUUGAUUGAUAAAACCCAGCCCGAUUUCUCGCCGCCUCUCGGUGAAUCACUGAGACAGGUGGAGUUUAGAAUGAUAGAAUUUAUCAGCAAAACUGUUCUCAGAAUUCCUGACAAUCUUUUCAGCGGGAACCCUCAACUGAGUCAUAACGACACCAAAGAAUUGUCGCGCCACGGCUCAGCAAACUCAUUGCAAGAUCGAAAUGAACCUCAAUGGGAUCUUCUCCACCGACUCAAUCGAACCGGAACUCAGAGGAAGAAAUCCGGUAAGAGCCGGCUUCAGUUCAUGACAACAGGGGACAACGAGAAUGAAGAAGAAUUUACCGCUGGAGAGACUAGUCAUAGUUCCUUUACGAACGAAGCAAAUUCUGGUCGAAAUUCUUUCGCCUCUAUUGGAAUUUUCACUCAUGCAACCCCGAUCAGAUGCCUUGUAACUUGUAUUCUUGGUUGUAAUCCCGCCAUGUCAAUGAAGAUCUGCAUUGAUGAUUCUUCUGUUACAGUGCUUCAACACACCCUCAGAAAAGGAUGGCAGGUAAAGAGAUUAAACGACACUUCGCAUGUCCGCCUGCUUUAACAGGUGAGCCAUAUCUUGUCAAUUCACUCAUGGCUUUGCUCCAGAAUUCCAAAAACUGGUUCAGAUCGAUUGCUCUGCGGAUCACAAAUUGAACUUCAGGACUUUAAAGCUUUUCAGCUAUUGAUUCUUCUACAUGGGAUGCUGAGUUUGGCCUCCACAAUUCAACAAUGGCUUCGGUCUUCUACUUUCUUCUUCGGCCAAUUUCUUCAGGCUAAGCUAUUAACGACCCAACUUCGAGCCGAGCUGGAGCGGCUUAAAAUCGGCUGGAAAAAAAAUUGAUCCAAAGUUUUGGCUCGUAGUUUGGCUCAUUUAUUUCGAUCCAAGCCAAAAUUCGAAUCAAUUUUCGAGCGAUUAACUAUCUUCAAGCUAAAUUCACUAUAUUAACAGCCCGAACAUCCUAGGAUUGUUAUCAAGCCGACCUGGGUUGGCUUGAAAUUGGUUCAAAAAAAUUUUGAUCCAAAAUUUUGGCUCAUAGCGCAGCGCAGCUUGUUUAUUUCGAUCUAAUCUCAAUCCGAGCCAAACAUUGAAUCAAUCUUCAAGCGA